rnacentral:siRNA from 1 species
CUAUUGAUUCCCAAGUAAAUAG